rnacentral:rRNA from 1 species
AGGUUGAGUAGACGCGAAACCUGGUGAUCUACCCAUGGGCAGGUUGAAGCUGUGGUAACACACAGUGGAGGACCGAACCCGUUGACGUUGAAAAGUCUUGGGAUGACCUGUGGGUAGGGGUGAAAGGCCAAUCAAACCAGGAAAUAGCUCGUACUCCCCGAAAUGCAUUUAGGUGCAGCGUUGUAUUAGUUAUAUAGAGGUAGAGCUACUGAUUGGAUGCGGGGGCUUCAUCGACUACCAAUUCCUGACAAACUCCGAAUGCUAUAUAAUGAUUUACAGCAGUGAGGGCAUGGG